CUUUCAUUAAAAUCCACUGCGUUGUGUUUUCUUGUGAAAAUGGUGAAGGAAGUUUUGACUCUAGUCUUCUUAAAUGUGAUUGGCAUGAUGAAAUUAAAUAGAAGUUUGAAAAUGAUAUGGUAAGCGAUAUGUAAUUGAAGAAAUGAGUCAUGGAAAAAAAUUGAAGAUAAAUUUAUGAGCGAAAAUAAAUAUAAAUCUGAUGAUAUCUUCGUUAACAGUAUUCCUACGUAUUUAGAAGCAUUGAAAAAAAAAAAAAAAAGAAAAGGAAAUGCAAUGGUACUAGCAAUUUGAAAAAUAAUUUGAUAGGGGAAAGAAUAAAAGAAUCAGUUCGAGUUACUAUCAUCUUUAUAACAGCUUAUAUCAAUUGAGUUAUUUGACUCAUGAAAUGAAUAUCGGCAUUGUAGUUGUAUGCAUGAUGUCCACGACGACCACAGGAAGGAACUCAAGGAAGUCAUUCUAGAACCACUGAGGCCGAUUUUCAAAAGAUUGCAUGCAACGUAUAGAACCUGUCAUUAAUUGGUAUCCAAAGAUAUCAAUCGUGGACCUUCGAAAUAUUCCACUGGUCAUCGGAAUUAGAGCAUCAAUCAUCCGAUGAAAUCGUGCAAUUGUUGCGUGAUGAUUGAUGGACAGUGACUCGAAUUAGAUUUGGAGAAUAAUUGAUAAAAAGAUAGUAAUACUAACUAUAUAAAGAUAGUAAUACUAGCUAUAUAAAAUCGAUAAAUUAAGAAAUAUAGAGAAUUUUAUAUUUUGUUCGAAAUUAGAGGGUGUGUUCUUGUACCAAAUGCACGAUGUACGCAUCCCACGAUGAUCUCGCGAUGAUUUAGCAUCGAUCCUACGACAUUCGCACGGUGAUCUAGCGACGAUUCCACGAUGAUCUAGCGACGAUCUCACGAUGUCUCCGAUAGAGGUGUAAUGAAGUUGUAGCUGAAGUCCAGUCUAGACCAGAAUAUCUAAAGGAAAAUUGGCACAAUUUUCUGGAUUUAGAGAUACUGCCUAGUUCUUAGUAUGAUAUUGAUUUUUAAAAAUUUAUUUUUGGAAAAUUUUCGAAGGAAACAUUAAAAUUAAUAAUUAAUAUGAAUGAAUUCGAAAAAUGUAAAAUAUAAA